UAGUUACCACGGGAUGAAGAUCCCAGCAGAAACAGAGAAACAAAUAGAGACAUCAUUAGCAUAGCUGCUGAUACCAGCCUGUGAUCUCCUAAGACACCCAGAUUCAGCCCUGGUCACGAUCUGUCCCACACCUGUGUCUCAUCACAGUCCAUCACCAGUGUCUGCACCCUGCCUACUGCCAAUAUUAAGGAUUUCUGUUCUGGAGAGAGAUGCCAUUCACAACAUAAUCUCUACACAAUAUCAAACUCAAAUAAUUUAAUCUUGCCUAACAGUUUCCCUGAUUUGUUACAGUUCACAAUGUAGCAUGGUCUUGCCUACCUUUGUCCAUUCAGUUGUUAAAAUGUUUUUAAUAUUUGAAUUGAA